GACAAUGGGCGGGAGCCUGAUCCAGCCAUGCCGCGUGCAGGAAGACUGCCCUAUGGGUUGUAAACUGCUUUUAUACAGGAAGAAACACCCCGACGUGUCGGGGCUUGACGGUACUGUAAGAAUAAGGAUCGGCUAACUCCGUGCCAGCAGCCGCGGUAAUACGGAGGAUCCAAGCGUUAUCCGGAAUCAUUGGGUUUAAAGGGUCCGUAGGCGGGCAGUUAAGUCAGUGGUGAAAGUCCUCCGCUCAACGGGGGAACUGCCAUUGAUACUGAUUGCCUUGAGUCACUGCGAAGUGGUUAGAAUGUGUAGUGUAGCGGUGAAAUGCAUAGAUAUUACUCAGAACACCUAUUGCGAAGGCAGAUCACUAACAGUGCACUGACGCUGAUGGACGAAAGCGUAGGUAGCGAACAGGAUUAGAUACCCUGGUAGUCCACGCCGUAAACGAUGGUCACUAGCUGUUUGGACUUCGGUCUGAGUGGCUAAGCGAAAGUGAUAAGUGACCCACCUGGGGAGUACGUUCGCAAGAAUGAAACUCAAAGGAAUUGACGGGGGCCCGCACAAGCGGUGGAGCAUGUGGUUUAAUUCGAUGAUACGCGAGGAACCUUACC
rnacentral:rRNA from 1 species